GCUACGGGCGGCAGCAGUAGGGAAUCUUCCACAAUGGGCGAAAGCCUGAUGGAGCAACGCCGCGUGGGUGAAGAAGGUCUUCGGAUCGUAAAACCCUGUUGUUAGAGAAGAAAGUGCGUGAGAGUAACUGUUCACGUUUCGACGGUAUCUAACCAGCAAGCCACGGCUAACUACGUGCCAGCAGCCGCGGUGAUACGUAGGUGGCAAGCGUUAUCCGGAUUUAGUGGGCGUAAAGGGACCGCAUGCGGUCUUGUAAGUCUGAUGGUAAAGCCUUAGGCUUAACAGGAGUGUGGCAUUGGAAGCUGGGAGACUUGUGUGCAGAAGAGGAGAGUGGAACUCCAUGUGUAGCGGUGAAAGGCGUAGAUAUAUGGAAGAACACCAGUGGCGAAAGCGGCUCUCUGGUCUGUAACUGACGCUGAGGUUCGAAAGCGUGGGUAGCAAACAGGAUUAGAUACCCCUGUAGUC
rnacentral:rRNA from 1 species